CCUACGGGUGGCUGCAGUGGGGAAUCUUGCGCAAUGGGCGGAAGCCUGACGCAGCGACGCCGCGUGCGGGACGAAUGCCUUCGGGUCGUAAACCGCUUUCAGCAGGGACGAGGCCCUCACGGUGACGGUACCUGCAGAAGAAGCCCCGGCUAACUACGUGCCAGCCGCCGCGGAAAUACGUAGGGUGCGACCGUUAUCCGGAUUCAUUGGGCGUAAGGCGCGCGUUGGCGGCCUGUUAGGUCGGGGGUAAACUACCGGGUCUCAACCCCGGUCCGCCCCCGAUACCGGCAGGCUUGAGUCUGGUAGGGGAAGGCGGAAUUCCCAGUGUAGCGGUGGAAUGCGCAGAUAUUGGGAAGAACACCGGCGGCGAAGGCGGCCUUCUGGGCCACGACUGACGCUGAGGCGCGAAAGCUAGGGGAGCGAACAGGAUUAGAUACCCUUGUAGUC
rnacentral:rRNA from 1 species